rnacentral:lncRNA from 10 species
GGGUUACCUGACAGUGUGGUAAGCAUCCUGAAAAACUCCCAGAGUGGAAAUGCCCUCACAGCAUAUGCCUUGUUUAAGGCUGGAGUACAAUGGCGCGAUCUCGGCUCACCGCAACCUCUGCCUCCCGGGUUCAAGCAAUUCUCCUGCUUUAGCCUCCCAAGUAGCUGGGAUUACAGAUUGCAACACCUGCUCGGUAUACCGUGACUUUGGGAGGAACAUCUGUCACUGUGAAGUAUCUGCGCAGUCAUGGCUACAUGUCCACGCCGCCACCCGUCAAGGAGUAUCUGCAGGACAGGAUGGAAGAGACAAAGGAGCUUAUCACAGAGAAAAUGGAAGAAACAAAAGAUAGACUCACUGAAAAGUUACAAGAAACCAAAGAAAAAGUUUCCUUUAAGAAAAAAGUGGAAUAAGGUGCCUUAUAUAGCAGUAUAGAAAAUUCCUGCACUUUAACCCUUUGGAAACUAUGGGCAAAGAUACAUGUGUCUGAUUAUUUUUUUGGUUAGUUGCCGAAAUAUACUAGUUCUCUGAGGGUUAAAGAAGUAAAAUACCUUUUUAAAGUUAAAUAUCACUAGAAAAAUCAGUGUUAUUACAAGGGAAGAAAUGAACCCAGUUUAAGAAUUUGCCAUCAGUAGCAGUAUUAAGCAGUGGUUAAUGUCUUA